rnacentral:rRNA from 1 species
UACGGGGGGAGCAAGCGUUGUUCGGAUUUACUGGGCGUAAAGGGCGCGUAGGCGGCGCAACAAGUCACUUGUGAAAUCUCCGGGCUUAACUCGGAAAGGUCAACUGAUACUGCGGGGCUAGAGUGCGGAAGGGGCAACUGGAAUUCUUGGUGUAGCGGUGAAAUGCGUAGAUAUCAAGAGGAACACCUGAGGUGAAGACGGGUUGCUGGGCCAACACUGACGCUGAUGCGCGAAAGCCAGGGGAGCAAACGGG